rnacentral:rRNA from 1 species
GGGAGUGCCCGAAAGGGAAUCGGAACACAGGUGCUGCAUGGCUGUCGUCAGCUCGUGUCGUGAGAUGUUGGGUUAAGUCCCGCAACGAGCGCAACCCUUAUCAUUAGUUGCUACGCAAGGGCACUCUAAUGAGACUGCCGGUGACAAACCGGAGGAAGGUGGGGAUGACGUCAAGUCCUCAUGGCCCUUAUGGGUAGGGCUUCACACGUCAUACAAUGGUCGGUACAGAGGGUUGCCAAGCCGCGAGGUGGAGCCAAUCCCAGAAAGCCGAUCGUAGUCCGGAUUGGAGUCUGCAACUCGACUCCAUGAAGUUGGAAUCGCUAGUAAUCGUGGAUCAGAAUGCCACGGUGAAUACGUUCCCGGGCCUUGUACACACCGCCCGUCACACCACGAGAGUCGGUUGUACCAGAAGGCGUUGGGCUAACCCGCAAGGGAGGCAGGCGCCCAAGGUAUGGCUGGUAAUUGGGGUGAAGUCGUAACAAGGUAGCCGUAGGGGAACC